GACGAACGCUGGCGGCGUGCUUAACACAUGCGAGUCGAACGAAGAGCGAUGGAAGCUUGCUUCUAUCAAUCUUAGUGGCGAACGGGUGAGUAACGCGUAAUCAACCUGCCCUUCAGAGGGGGACAACAGUUGGAAACGACUGCUAAUACCGCAUACGAUCUAAUCUCGGCAUCGAGGAUAGAUGAAAGGUGGCCUCUACAUGUAAGCUAUCACUGAAGGAGGGGAUUGCGUCUGAUUAGCUAGUUGGAGGGGUAACGGCCCACCAAGGCGAUGAUCAGUAGCCGGUCUGAGAGGAUGAACGGCCACAUUGGGACUGAGACACGGCCCAGACUCCUACGGGAGGCAGCAGUGGGGAAUCUUCCGCAAUGGACGAAAGUCUGACGGAGCAACGCCGCGUGAGUGAUGACGGCCUUCGGGUUGUAAAGCUCUGUUAAUCGGGACGAAAGGCCUUCUUGCGAAUA
rnacentral:rRNA from 1 species